rnacentral:rRNA from 1 species
GACUGCCGGUGACAAACCGGAGGAAGGUGGGGAUGACGUCAAAUCAUCAUGCCCCUUAUGGCCUGGGCUACACACGUGCUACAAUGGACGGUACAAACGGUUGCGAAGUCGCGAGAGGGAGCUAAUCCGAUAAAGUCAUUCUCAGUUCGGAUUGGAGUCUGCAACUCGCCUACAUGAAGUCGGAAUCGCUAGUAAUCGCGGAUCAGCAUGCCGCGGUGAAUACGUUCCCGGGCCUUGUACACACCGCCCGUCACACCACGGGAGUGGAUAACACCAGAAGUACGGUGAGGUACCUCUGGA